UGGGGAAUAUUGCACAAUGGGCGAAAGCCUGAUGCAGCAACGCCGCGUGCGGGAUGAAGGCCCUAGGGUUGUAAACCSUUUCAGCAGGGAAGAAAAUGACGGUACCUGUAGAAGAAGGUGCGGCCAACUACGUGCCAGCAGCCGCGGUGACACGUAGGCACCAAGCGUUGUCCGGAUUUAUUGGGCGUAAAGAGCUCGUAGGCGGUUCAGUUAGUCGGGUGUGAAAACUCUGGGCUCAACCCAGAGACGCCACCCGAUACUGCUGUGACUAGAGUGCGGUAGGGGAGCGGGGAAUUCCUAGUGUAGCGGUGAAAUGCGCAGAUAUUAGGAGGAACACCAGUGGCGAAGGCGCCGCUCUGGGCCGUAACUGACGYUGAGGAGCGAAASKNGGGUAGCAAACAGGAUUAGAUACCCUGGUAGUCCACGCCGUAAACGUUGGGCACUAGGUGUGGGUCUCAACCAACGAGAUCCGCGCCGUCGCUAACGCAUUAAGUGCCCCGCCUGGGGAGUACGGUCGCAAGGCUAAAACUCAAA
rnacentral:rRNA from 1 species